GGCUUCCCCAAUUUCAAAUGCACAAAUUUAGUUACUAAUCAUACAAAUUUUUGUAGUUUGAAGCAGCUUAUUGUUCUAUAAAAAGAUGCAUAUAAUUUAUACUCGUCGAGUAAUUAUAGCUUUACUCAUUGCUUACGUUGCUGCUGCUGCUGAUUUAGAGAUCAACGGAGCUGAAAAAACAGGUGUAGAUGGAUUGAUUUUGAGUAGUAAUAGUAGUGUGAAUGAGAAAUUAGAUCCGAUGA
rnacentral:misc_RNA from 1 species